CUCAUCCUCAAUGAUAUCCACUCGGGGACCUGUGGUCAUCAUGCGUCCUCUCGGACCAUCGUGGCCAAAGCAUACCGAGCCGGAUUUUACUGGCCAAAGGCGAAUGAGAUGGCAAAAGAGAUAGUGGAUAAGUGCGAGGGAUGUCAGUUCUACUCGAAUAUGUCGCACAAGCCUGCGUCAGCUCUGAAGACUAUCCCACUCGUUUGGCCUUUCGCAGUAUGGGGACUGGACAUGGUCGGUCCUUUGAGAACAGGACGAAGUGGCUUCACGCAUGUACUGGUGGCAGUCGACAAGUUCACCAAGUGGAUCGAGGCUAAACCAAUCAAGAACCUUGACACCGGUACUGCUGUUAGUUUCAUCAGGGAACUAAUAUUCAGAUAUGGAGUCCCGCACAGCAUCAUUACG
rnacentral:rRNA from 1 species